GAUAGCCCAAAAAUCCCUACGAACUGCAAUGCACUCAGAAAACGAAUAUAAAAUUGAAAAGUAAUGUAGUGUCGAGUGGGAAUGGAAUUUGUACUCCAAGUGCAGAUUCAAUCCAUUGUGAAUCGAUUUCCAAACGAUUUCAGACGUUCAGAGGAGCGUGCCCUAACGGCACUCAAAUUACAAUGCCCGUUGCAAAAAGCAGAUCGUGUUUAGCUCCAAUUUUGUAAUCCUUUAUUGCUUUGUUCAAUUAAAAAAAAAAAACAGAUCGUAUUACCGUUGAAAAAAGCAGGAUUUCAAUUCUUUUAAAAGGAGUUAUACUAGAGAAGCAGGGCAGAUUAUAUUGUUCUUCCAUUUUUUUGGUUUUCUUUUGUAAGUUCAAUUUUUUCUUUUGGCGUGGCCAUGCCUUUGAGUCUUUCUUUCCUCAGUUUUAGUUUGUAAUUUUUACUUUCUAUACUCAGAUGUUUUCAUUUGCUUUCUGGGUUUGAAUUGCAGUUUUUUGUUUUGGUAUUUUGUGUAUUUUUUUUCUGUGGAGCGUCAUUUUUAAUGGGCAUGGAGGUAGGCAGCAGCAAGAAUUCUACGUUCUGGACUGGCUGAUUGGAGUUAUGGACAGAAAAUGGGCAGUGUUGUAGGUGAUUGACUCCACUUGACCAUUUUAACAGUACUACUCCGCUUGACCAUUUUAACUAGUUCACCAUAUCUUGGUCACCAUGUUGUCGAGUUUCUAGAAAUGUUUGGAGGCUUGAAUGGGUAGCUACUGAAGUCGAAUAAGGAAUGUAAUAUUUAAAAUUUCAAAAAAAAUGUUAGAUAUCUUGAAUGGGUUGCUGAAUGCAACAUUUAAUAUUUAAAAUUGAAGAAAAUAUUGUACUUUUGAAUCAAUUGUUGAAAUCAAUAUUUGUAAAUUGAUAUGUAAACAGAUUCGUUGUUUAAUGCCAAAUUUUAUUUGGAAGGGGUUGAAUUGGCCCCCUUCCCAAGGCUGUGGGGAAUGGUCAUUGGCCAUGUCCAUUCUUUUCAGUCUAGUGUCCAUUUUUUUUUUUGGUUAUCUGUUUUUAUUUAAUCACAUUCAAUGAUAUGACAUUUUUAGUGUAGUUUAAUUAUUUAA